UACGUAGGGUGCGAGCGUUAAUCGGAAUUACUGGGCGUAAAGGGUGCGCAGGCGGUCUCGUAAGCUGGGUGUGAAAGCCCCCGGGGCUUAACCCUGGGGAAUGGCAUUCAGGACUGCGAGGCUUUGAGUGUGGCAGAGGGAGGUGGAAUUCCACGUGUAGCAGUGAAAUGCGUAGAGAUGUGGAGGAACACCGAUGGCGAAGGCAGCCUCCUGGGCCAGCACUGACGCUCAUGCACGAAAGCGUGGGGAGCAAACAGG
rnacentral:rRNA from 1 species